AUGAACGCUAGCUACAGGCUUAACACAUGCAAGUCGAGGGGCAGCAUGGUCUUAGCUUGCUAAGGCCGAUGGCGACCGGCGCACGGGUGAGUAACACGUAUCCAACCUGCCGUCUACUCUUGGACAGCCUUCUGAAAGGAAGAUUAAUACAAGAUGGCAUCAUGAGUCCGCAUGUUCACAUGAUUAAAGGUAUUCCGGUAGACGAUGGGGAUGCGUUCCAUUAGAUAGUAGGCGGGGUAACGGCCCACCUAGUCUUCGAUGGAUAGGGGUUCUGAGAGGAAGGUCCCCCACAUUGGAACUGAGACACGGUCCAAACUCCUACGGGAGGCAGCAGUGAGGAAUAUUGGUCAAUGGGCGAGAGCCUGAACCAGCCAAGUAGCGUGAAGGAUGACUGCCCUAUGGGUUGUAAACUUCUUUUAUAAAGGAAUAAAGUCGGGUAUGGAUACCCGUUUGCAUGUACUUUAUGAAUAAGGAUCGGCUAACUCCGUGCCAGCAGCCGCGGUAAUACGGAGGAUCCGAGCGUUAUCCGGAUUUAUUGGGUUUAAAGGGAGCGUAGAUGGAUGUUUAAGUCAGUUGUGAAAGUUUGCGGCUCAACCGUAAAAUUGCAGUUGAUACUGGAUAUCUUGAGUGCAGUUGAGGCAGGCGGAAUUCGUGGUGUAGCGGUGAAAUGCUUAGAUAUCACGAAGAACUCCGAUUGCGAAGGCAGCCUGCUAAGCUGCAACUGACAUUGAGGCUCGAAAGUGUGGGUAUCAAACAGGAUUAGAUACCCUGGUAGUCCACACGGUAAACGAUGAAUACUCGCUGUUUGCGAUAUACUGCAAGCGGCCAAGCGAAAGCGUUAAGUAUUCCACCUGGGGAGUACGCCGGCAACGGUGAAACUCAAAGGAAUUGACGGGGGCCCGCACAAGCGGAGGAACAUGUGGUUUAAUUCGAUGAUACGCGAGGAACCUUACCCGGGCUUAAAUUGCAGAUGAAUUACGGUGAAAGCCGUAAGCCGCAAGGCAUCUGUGAAGGUGCUGCAUGGUUGUCGUCAGCUCGUGCCGUGAGGUGUCGGCUUAAGUGCCAUAACGAGCGCAACCCUUAUCGAUAGUUACCAUCAGGUUAUGCUGGGGACUCUGUCGAGACUGCCGUCGUAAGAUGUGAGGAAGGUGGGGAUGACGUCAAAUCAGCACGGCCCUUACGUCCGGGGCUACACACGUGUUACAAUGGGGGGUACAGAGGGCCGCUACCACGCGAGUGGAUGCCAAUCCCCAAAACCUCUCUCAGUUCGGACUGGAGUCUGCAACCCGACUCCACGAAGCUGGAUUCGCUAGUAAUCGCGCAUCAGCCACGGCGCGGUGAAUACGUUCCCGGGCCUUGUACACACCGCCCGUCAAGCCAUGGGAGCCGGGGGUACCUGAAGUGCGUAACCGCGAGGAGCGCCCUAGGGUAAAACUGGUGACUGGGGCU
rnacentral:rRNA from 1 species